UACGAAGGGGGCGAGCGUUGUUCGGAAUUACUGGGCGUAAAGGGCGCGUAGGCGGCCCCUUUUGUCGCGUGUGAAAGCCCCGGGCUCAACCUGGGAAUUGCGCGCGAAACGGAGGGGCUUGGGUUCGGGAGAGGAGAGUGGAAUUCCCAGUGUAGAGGUGAAAUUCGUAGAUAUUGGGAAGAACACCGGUGGCGAAGGCGGCUCUCUGGACCGAGACUGACGCUGAGGCGCGAAAGCGUGGGGAG
rnacentral:rRNA from 1 species